rnacentral:rRNA from 1 species
AUGGAGGGACGCACAGAAGCCGGUGUGGAUCAUGAAAAGCUCCAUGGCGGCGCCUAUGGCCGCGCCGCCGACGGCGAUCUUCAGGUACCACCCCGCGAACCUCAUACGGCACUGCUGGCCGCAAGCUGCUGCAUCCACAAAGUCCGAUCAACCGUACAUCAAUUGAAUGGAAGGGGAGAGAUAGCCGGUACCUGUCAGGAGUCAGAGGAGCGGUCGCCGGAGCGAGGAGGCGGCGGCGGCGGAGGAGGAUCGUGGCACGAGCUGACGGACCGAGGCGAGGGCGAAGAAGAGGUAGCGGGUUGUUACGGCCCAGUCCCCAAAGGCCCAACAAAAACAGAAAAUCUGUCUCCCACUGAAGACUGA